GCGGGCGUGGCGGAAUUUGGUAGACGCACUGGAUUUAGGUUCCAGCGACGAAAGUUGUGGGGGUUCGAGUCCCUCCGCCCGCA
rnacentral:tRNA from 1 species